rnacentral:rRNA from 1 species
UCUGGUUGAUCCUGCCGGCGGCCACCGCUAUUGGUAUUCGAUUAAGACAUGCGAGUCGAGAGACGAAAGGUCUCGGCGGACCGCUGAUUAACACGCGGAUAACAUGCCCUGGGGUGGGGGAUAAUCUCGGGAAACUGAGGAUAAUACCCCAUAGGUCUAGGAUGCUGGAAUGCUUCUGGGCUGAAAACUCCGGUGCCCCAGGAUUGGUCUGCGGCUUAUCAGGUUGUAGUGGGUGUAACGGACCCACUAGCCUAUGACGAGUAUGGGCCUUGAGAGAGGGAGCCCACAGAUGGACUCUGAGACAUGAGUCCAGGCCCUACGGGGCGCAGCAGUCGCGAAAACUUCACAAUGGGAGCAAUCCCGAUGAGGGAAUACCAAGUGCCAGCGCUUUGCGUUGGCUGUUCUCCUGUCUAAAAAACAGGAGAAGUAAGGGCCGGGUAAGACGGGUGCCAGCCGCCGCGGUAAUACCCGCGGCCCGAGUGGUGGUCGAUAUUAUUGAGCCUAAAACGUCCGUAGCCGGUCUCAUAAAUCCUUGGGUAAAUCGGCCAGCUUAACUGUCCGAAGUCCGAGGAGACUGUGAGACUUGGGAUCGGGAGAGGUCAGAGGUACUUCUGGGGUAGGGGUAAAAUCCUGUAAUCCUGGAAGGACCACCGGUGGCGAAGGCGUCUGACUAGAACGAAUUCGACGGUGAGGGA